AGCGAACGCUGGCGGCAGGCCUAACACAUGCAAGUCGAACGAACUCUUCGGAGUUAGUGGCGGACGGGUGAGUAACACGUGGGAACGUGCCUUUAGGUUCGGAAUAACUCAGGGAAACUUGUGCUAAUACCGAAUGUGCCCUUCGGGGGAAAGAUUUAUCGCCUUUAGAGCGGCCCGCGUCUGAUUAGCUAGUUGGUGAGGUAAAGGCUCACCAAGGCUACGAUCAGUAGCUGGGCUGAGAGGAUGACCAGCCACAUUGGGACUGAGACACGGCCCAAACUUCUACGGGAGGCAGCAGUGGGGAAUCUUGCGCAAUGGGCGAAAGCCUGACGCAGCCAUGCCGCGUGGAUGAUGAAGGUCUUAGGAUUGUAAAAUCCUUUAACCGGUGAAGAUAAUGACUGUAGCCGGAGAAGAAGCCCCGGCUAACUUCGUGCCAGCAGCCGCGGUAAUAC
rnacentral:rRNA from 1 species